GCGGGUGUAGCAUAGUGGUAAUGUUCCAGCUUCCCAAGCUGGCCACGAGGGUUCGAUUCCCUUCACCCGCU
rnacentral:tRNA from 1 species